ACUACACCAGCUCUCCUGGGCCUCUAGCAUACAGAUGGCUGGUCAUGGGACACCUUAGCCUUCAUCAUUGUCAUCUACUAUGGCAUACUGUAAUGUGCAAGGACUCUGGGCAGUAUAGCAUGGAGUUUUUCUAGGUUAAGCCAAGACCCACAUGAGCCCCUGACUACAGGGGCAGAGGUCCUGAAUCUAACAUUGGAUGUAAUGGCUGGAGCUGCAGCAGCCAUGGCAGGCCAGGAAAAUACCACCUCAUAGGGCAUGACAGAAUGGAUAGCUGAAAGGAGCCUGGGUCUGUGACAACUUUAUGGAGUCACCAUUUCAGAGCCUGUCUUGGAUCUACUUCUAUAUGAGAUUUCAGAGUGCUAGAUGAUGGAUAUGCAAACAGAAACCUACCACAGUCUUUGGACACCCAAGAAUUCAUGGCCUUGUGGGAAGAUAGUUCAAGCCUAGACUGCAGUACAAUAUGGUGCUUGCUUUCUAGAAGUAUGACUUUUGGGCUACAGAGGCAUCAGCUCUGCCUGGGGGAAAAGAGAGAAUGUGUAGGAGUCUGCAGCUGGUCAAGGGGCUGAAUUUACUCCACCCCAUCCCCUGGAAUGAGUCUGUGAC